GGUUUCGAUCAUACCAGCACUAAUGCACCGAAUCCCAUCAGAACUCCGCAGUUAAGCGUGCUUGGGCUAGUGUAGUACUAGGAUGGGUGACCCCCUGGGAAGUCCUCGUGUUGCAACCCUUUUUUUUUCGUUUUUUUGUUCUUAUUAUAUUUACUAGUCGAUGUAUCUUUGGCGUAGCAUCCGAUCGGCCGAUUUUGUGAAAGGAAGGCUUUGACUAAGGCGCGCGCACGCACGGCGGGCCCGAGGCGCGCGCACGCACGGCGUGGAAAGGUAUAAAGGAAUAAGGAGAUGGUAGUCUUUCGGUUUCGAUCAUACCAGCACUAAUGCACCGGAUCCCAUCAGAACUCCGCAGUUAAGCGUGCUUGGGCUAGAGUAGUACUAGGAUGGGUGACCCCUUGGGAAGGCCUCGUGUUGCAACCC
rnacentral:lncRNA from 1 species